rnacentral:rRNA from 1 species
AACGAACGCUGGCGGCAUGCCUAACACAUGCAAGUCGAACGCGACCUUCGGGGUUAGUGGCGGACGGGUGCGUAACGCGUGGGAAUCUGCCCUUGGGUACGGGAUAACAGCGGGAAACUGGUGUUAAUACCGGAUGAUGUCUUCGGACCAAAGAUUUAUCGGCGAGGGAUGAGCCCGCGUUGGAUUAGCUAGUUGGUGGGGUAAUGGCCUACCAAGGCGACGAUCCUUAGCUGGUCUGAGAGGAUGAUCAGCCACACUGGGACUGAGACACGGCCCAGACUCCUACGGGAGGCAGCAGUGGGGAAUAUUGGACAAUGGGCGCAAGCCUGAUCCAGCAAUGCCGCGUGAGUGAUGAAGGCCUUAGGGUUGUAAAGCUCUUUUACCAGGGAUGAUAAUGACGGUACCUGGAGAAUAAGCCCCGGCUAACUUCGUG